rnacentral:ncRNA from 12 species
GAUUAUUGAGGGUAGAAACGCUGAGCCUUCUUUUAUAAACGCAUGGUCGGCUCAGCACUAGGCUCAGCGGGGCCGUCGAGGCAUCUACCGCACCCUUAAACAGGGUAUAAAGAGAUGUGGGACACGCCGCCCCACCAAUAAUC